rfam:Catenaria anguillulae PL171 BCR44scaffold_13, whole genome shotgun sequence.
UCGACGAUACUCUUAGGAUCAUGUAUCUAGUAUCUGUCUACAUCUGGAUUUUCUCAAAUUCAGACACCAAUACAUACCAUGGAAGAUGCCCUUUAUGAGUUCGACUCUCAAGAGUGAGAAGUGGCAAGUAUUUGUUGGCCCUUUGGCGCCAGCCUUGCGAGUCGAGGACCUCGGCCGCCCUAAGCAUUCCUUGGGUGCGUCGUGGAGUCGAACUGUUCUGACAUGG